rnacentral:rRNA from 1 species
CGCAAGCCUGACGGAGCAAGACCGCGUGAGGGAGGACGGCCUGUGGGUUGUAAACCUCUUUUCUCUGGGAAGAACACAUGACGGUACCAGAGGAAUCAGCAUCGGCUAACUCCGUGCCAGCAGCCGCGGUAAUACGGAGGAUGCAAGCGUUAUCCGGAAUUAUUGGGCGUAAAGCGUCCGCAGGCGGCCUUGAAAGUCUGUCGUUAAAGCGUGGAGCUUAACUCCAUUUCAGCGAUGGAAACUACAAGGCUUGAGUGUGGUAGGGGCAGAGGGAAUUCCCGGUGUAGCGGUGAAAUGCGUAGAUAUCGGGAAGAACACCAGUGGCGAAGGCGCUCUGCUGGGCCAUAACUGACGCUCAUGGACGAAAGCCAGGGGAGCG